rnacentral:snRNA from 1 species
AUCCCUUUGGAGACAUCCGAUAAGAUUGGAACGAGACAGAAAAGAUUAACGUGGCCCCUGCGCAAGGAUAACAAGCACAAAUCGAGAAAUGCUCGAACUGAGA